CAGUGACGAUGGCUGUGGGGUUCCACCUGUUCCCAUACCGAACACAGUAGUUAAGCCCACAAACGCCGAAGGUACUUGGUUGGAAACGGCCUGGGAGAUUAGGAAGUUGCUGGUUC
rnacentral:rRNA from 1 species